rnacentral:rRNA from 1 species
GUCGAGAAUCUUUCACAAUGGGGGCAACCCUGAUGGAGCGACGCCGCGUGGAGGAUAAGGUCUUCGGAUUGUAAACUCCUGUCAUGCGUGAACAAGGUUGCUUGGUUAAUACCUGGGCAAAUUGAUGGUAACGCAAGAGGAAGAGACGGCUAACUCUGUGCCAGCAGCCGCGGUAAUACAGAGGUCUCAAGCGUUGUUCGGAAUCACUGGGCGUAAAGUGUGCGUAGGUGGCGUGGUAAGUCAGAUGUGAAAGCCCGGGGCUCAACCUCGGAACUGCAUCCGAUACUGCCAUGCUAGAGUACUGGAGAGGUGACUAGAAUUCUCGGUGUAGCAGUGAAAUGCGUAGAUAUCGAGAGGAAUACCAAAGGCGUAGGCAGGUCACUGGACAGUUACUGACACUGAGGCACGAAGGCCAGGGGAGCGAACGGGAUUAGAAACCCGAGUAGUCC